rnacentral:lncRNA from 1 species
GUCGAUUCAGUUGUCAUUCCUUCAACCACCUUCGACGAUGCUUCCCACCCACCGCCUCCGCCACCGCCUCUAACGGAGUGACCACCGGUCCUUAUUGUCGAUCAUCCAUAUUUCACCAGUACCGGUGAUAAUCUAGGUACCAUUCUGGUUUCUGCUCCUCUCUCGUCUUCUGCUGACUACUAUUCUUGGGCUCGCUCCAUGCGUAUCUGCCUCUUGAGCAAGAACAAACUCGGAUUUGUCGAUGGCUCGAUUUUGGCUCCAUCGACGUCCGAUGUACUGUAUUCAUUCUGGGAACGCGUAAAUGUUCUCGUUUUUAGUUGGCUUUAUAGAUUUAUUUAUCCCAAGAUUGCACAGAGUAUGCUUUGGCUCGAUUUAGCUCGAUCUCAACGAUCGAUUCCACCGCUCCAAUUUGGUGCGCGUCAAUGCCCUGCACGAUCAGUUAUCUUCUUUCCAUCAGGGUUCUUUGUUUGGUUCUGGUUAUUACACACGUUUCAAAGUCCUUUGGGACGAAUACAUCGUGUGCAGGCCGAUUCCAAUGUAUUCUUAUAACCCUCAUUGUGCUUGCGAUGCGUUUCCUCGUCUCUGUAACUACAUCAUCUCUUAUCAAAUGAUCAAGUUCUUGAGAGAUCUCAAUAAUAGCUUCUCGUCCAUGCGAUCUCAGAUCUUGUGGAUGGAUCCGUUGCCGAUCAUUAAUCAAGCCUUCCCUAUGGCUUGUUGAUGUGAUGUAUUUUCGACACACCUUUUCUCGUUAUAAACUAUAUUUUUGUGUGUCGAAAUGUAUUCAAAUUUGGGUUUGAGUACAUGUUUGGUUCUCUUGCCCCUCGGGGCCGUAUUAUGGUGUUUGGUAUGUUUUUCGUAUAUUUCAGGUGUCAUAUGACGUUUAGAGAUAAACCAAGACAUGACGGGGAGGCCGGAACAACUCAAAGCGUUCGACUUGGGAAGAAAGCGUCACUGUUUAGUAUUUUGAGCAUAACUCAUCGCUCUGAAGUCCAAUUGAUG